rnacentral:rRNA from 1 species
UACGAAGGGGGCUAGCGUUGUUCGGAAUUACUGGGCGUAAAGCGCACGUAGGCGGACAUUUAAGUCAGGGGUGGAAUCCCAGAGCUCAACUCUGGAACUGCCUUUGAUACUGGGUGUCUUGAGUAUGGAAGAGGUGAGUGGAAUUCCGAGUGUAGAGGUGAAAUUCGUAGAUAUUCGGAGGAACACCAGUGGCGAAGGCGGCUCACUGGUCCAUUACUGACGCUGAGGUGCGAAAGCGUGGGGAGCAAACAGG